UUGCUAUGAUGAGUUAAUUUUCCUGAAAUGCAUGUGAUGAAUAUUUCUUUACGAGCUUUUUAACUCUGAGCAAA